AUACGUAGGGGGCGAGCGUUGUCCGGAAUGAUUGGGCGUAAAGGGCGCGUAGGCGGCCCGGUAAGUCUGGAGUGAAAGUCCUGUUUUUAAGAUGGGAAUUGCUUUGGAUACUGUCGGGCUUGAGUGCAGGAGAGGUAAGUGGAAUUCCCAGUGUAGCGGUAAAAUGCGUAGAGAUUGGGAGGAACACCAGUGGCGAAGGCGACUUACUGGACUGUAACUGACGCUGAGGCGCGAAAGUGUGGGGAGCAAACAGGAUUAGAUACCCUGGUAGUCCACACUGUAAACGAUGAAUGCUAGGUGUAGGGGGUAUCGACCCCUUCUGUGCCGCAGUCAACACAAUAAGCAUUCCGCCUGGGGAGUACGGCCGCAAGGUUGAAACUCAAAGGAAUUGACGGGG
rnacentral:rRNA from 1 species